rnacentral:rRNA from 1 species
UGGGGAAUAUUGGACAAUGGGGGCAACCCUGAUCCAGCAAUGCCGCGUGUGUGAAGAAGGCCUUCGGGUUGUAAAGCACUUUUAUCGGGAACGAAACAUUGUCGGCCAAUACCCGGCAAGACUGACGGUACCCGAGGAAUAAGCACCGGCUAACUCCGUGCCAGCAGCCGCGGUAAUACGGAGGGUGCAAGCGUUAAUCGGAAUUACUGGGCGUAAAGCGUGCGCAGGCGGUUUGUUAAGUCUGCUGUGAAAUCCCCGAGCUCAACUUGGGAAUUGCAGUGGAUACUGGCAAGCUGGAGUACGGUAGAGGAAGGUGGAAUUCCCGGUGUUGCAGUGAAAUGCGUAGAGAUCGGGAGGAACACCAGUGGCGAAGGCGGCCUUCUGGACCAGUACUGACGCUCAUGCACGAAAGCGUGGGGAGCAAACA